rnacentral:tRNA from 2 species
GGCCCGUUCGUCUAGAGGCUAGGACGUCAGAUUUUCAUUCUGGUAACAGGGGUUCGAUUCCCCUACGGGCUACCA